AUAUGUGAGAAUACCUGCUUGUCAGUGCUCAUCUGAUCUGAUCUCAGAAGCUAAGCAAGGCUGGCCCUGAUUAGUACUUCGAUGGGAGACUGUUGUGUAUAGCAGGUCCCUUAGU
rnacentral:rRNA from 1 species